ensembl:lncRNA
UGGAAAUUAAGGCAACUGAAGAAUGUUUUGGAUCAGAGGUUUCCCCACUAAUCAGUCUCCUCUGAUGAGCAUGCGCAUUUUAGCUAUACUACUUGGCAUGAUUUUACUAUUGUGAAGGGUUUUGGAGAAUAAUCUCAAGGCAAUUUAUUUCUUUCCAUUGGGCUAAUCCCUUCUUCAGAGCCCAGCUCAUUUUCAACGCUGCUGCGUUGCGUUGCUGUCUUCCCCCUCCCCUUCAGUGCGACAGCCUCAGAGCUGCUGAAAAGACAGAAAGUAUGCAACUGGAUAAAUUCGGAAAUGUGGAAUUCAUGGAUCAAAUGGUACUUGCAGAGUUAAAGCUGUCUGGAUUCAGUUCCUGGAAUUUUCUAGAAUGGUAUAACAGGAAAAUAUUUUAAGGGAGACUUGCCUGGAAAAAGACUUGUGCCAGCAGUGUACAACUCACUCUUUUAUGCCCACACGGAUCACCUCCAGGCCCAGACUUGCACACAAACUUGCCCUAAACCACACAAGCACACCUCAAGGCAUAGUCAUAACCACCACAGCAAGAGACUUGCCCCUCAGCACAGGGUCACUUCCCACAUCACUAGAUUCUCCCAAUGAUGCUCACAGGUUCACCUUAACACGGAGACCCAUCUGAGGGACACCGAACAGGGGCCACAGGACAGAAACUUGCCCUGCAGAGACAAUCCCAACCUCACAGACUGUCUUCAUAUCAAUCAGACUCCUCCUAGGAUGCACAGACACACAAACUUAUGACAGGGAACAGGGAUUCUCUCACAGCCUGCAGAUAGUCCCCGUAGCACAGAACACAGACUGGACUGUCCACAGCAUGGACUCUCACUCUAGCACAUGCGUCUCUCCACAAUGCAGACUUUCCCUUCAGAGCACAGACCCAUGACAUAGCUCGAAGACCCAUGCCUCGACCCUAAGACUCCUGCGACAGACCGACUCACCCCAGGGCACAGGACACUGACUGUCCCAGCAGGACACUGACUCACUCGGGCUACACAGCCAGAUUUACCCCACGAAACAGGACUGAACCCACAGUCCAGACAGUUCCCAUAGCACUCAGUCAAAUUUAUCCACCACACAGAGUUCCAGCUUUGUGGUGUGCAGCAGAUACAUAACACGGCAAUGCACAGGCUUGGAUCACAACACACCAGUUGCCCUUCAGUGGACCAGUGCAUUUCAUAACAAACACAGUGAGCACACUGUGGAAACACUUUACGGCCAUUCUCGUCCUACAACAUCUGGCCUCCCCUCAGGCUCACCCUCACCACACACCCCAUGGCCCGCUGUCACCAGAACACACCCCGGAUUCCGCAGACACACGGUCAUACAUGGGCAUACGUCACAGUGCACACGUGACGCUGCAGCACACAGGCGGGCACUACAAUGGACAAACUUGUUCCACAACACACAUGGGUGCUGCAGGAGCACCUCACAAUGCACUUUUCCCUCAGUCACCCCACACCAUCUAUGCAGCCCCCAACAUGGAAACAUCCUGCAGCGCGACACUCCAGCCCCACGGUGCUCACAGUGAUGGUGUGGCACGGACUUGCCAUCCAGCAUCAUUUCCUCAAACCCACACUGCUUACAGUGAGUGGCUACACAGUGUGGACACGUGCUCUAAAACACCUAAAACCAGUUGUCAAGUGUUGCUUUGGAUUUACCAGAAGCACCGAGACUGGUUACACUGCUCACACUGCUGCUCAUAGUGUAAGCUGUGUGCAGAACUGCACCAAAAUGCAGCUUCUCCCAUCAAUACACUGACUCUUCUCACAACUCACAUAUACACUGCUGCACACUAAGACUCACCACCCUAUGUGCUCAGGACACGGACUUACCCCACAACACUUGGACUUGCCUUAAAGUCACACCCACAAUAUUAGACAUGCCUUAAAAUUCACAGCAUGCCUGUAAAUAGAGAUUUAUUCCACAAUGAACAGGAUUGCAUCACAACACACACCUUAGUCUGGAGCACAAAACCUACAGUGUACAUGAACAUUUCCCACUGCGUAGACUCACAGCACACAUAUUACCCUCCUUCGCAAAGAUUUCUAUUUGAGUGGACAGUCAUGCUUUACGAUACUGUUGAGCUACAACUCUGGCAUUCAACAGAGAUACAGCUUUUGCAAUGGUUAAGAGCAAGGCCUCUGGACCCAGAACACCUGGGUUUGAAUCCAGAUCCCAUCCCUUGCUAAAUGUAUCACCAUGGAUUUGCCUCAGAAGUCAGCCUUGCUCCAGAGAACUACAGAAAUGCCUCGCAAUGCCUUCAGUGAACCUACAAUAAAAAGACUCAACUCCACCAUGCCCAGACUCACCUCCUCACACCAACAGAUGACCUAUAACCCAGAGAAUCUGAAAAGAGGACCCACAUGCUCACACAAACUUGGAGGAUCUGGAAGAUGUGGAAAGAACACGGACUAGAAGGGGAGGAAGAGCGCUUCGCGCCCGCUGCACAUUGCCAUCUAGUGACCAUACUGAAUGGUGGUGUUGGUAGUCCUGACCUCAGCCUGGUAGCCUGACCUUGAACCCAGAGUUCCAGGUUCCCUUCACAACUUCAAGUGAUUGUUGGGCAGCAUUUGAGUGUACACAUUCUGCACCCUUGAGGAAUUUGGAACUACGCGCAAGUUCAAGCCCUGUUUAUUUAUCUUGUGAAUUUAUCACUUGCUUAUUCAGUAUUACAUGUUAAUAUUGUAAACUGCACGCUGAUGUGAAACUUGCAUUGUAAAUUUGCAUAAAUUGGGUAAGAAUUGCCUUAAAGCAAAAGAAAAAGAAAGUAGAUGCUAGAGAAAAAAGACGAGUGAAGAGGGUGAGAAAGGUAAUGUUGAUAGCAAAUAAAAUGAGAAGUUUGAAAUGCAUGGUAAUAGUGAAAAAAACCCAAGACCUCUAAAGGACAUUUUUUGGCAUUAAUGAAUGCCCAAUGUGUACAAAAAAGAAAAAUGAGAAGUCAGUUAGGGCCGGUGCACUGAGUGAUACAUCAGAAUUUCUAGGAAAAUUAUACAUAAUUUGAAAUGCUAAAGUAGAGACAAUGGAAAUAGAUUUACAUUUGUGGAAACUUUCCCUAUGUAUUAUCCACCAGUGAGCGUCACAAAAAUGCGAGUUCAACUUUCUAUCUGGAAGAAAACUUAUAACACGCAUGGCUGGCAGAGAAAGCGGAUCAUGAAGCUGCUGUAGAAUGUCCUGAGUAAUAGAGGAGCCCUGUUGAAGAAAUGGUUUUCCUAAACAUGUUUUCAAUGCUCAGGAAAUGUUCUGUCCUGGAAGUGCACACCAACUUGCACAUCCAUUGUGAAGGGUGAGCAAAGGGCCAGAUAUCUGAAGCCUGAAAAGAAAAGCUCAAAGGACUGCUUCAUUCCAUUGUUGCCGGUCACUUCCUUAUUAAUUUCAGGUUGCUCACAAAUUCCGAUGUCCUUACCUCUGAAUGCCAGGAACAUGUUUCCAUCUCCAUGGAUGGAUACCAUAAAAUCUGGACCACUGAGAAAGUAUUUUUCAACUGGAUUUUGAAGCAUUUUAUUCCUAAUGCUAAACAAUAUUUAAACAAAACAAAUUCUUAAAAGUGUUCCUGAAUCGGGACACUACUCCCACUGAUGAAAGUGUGAGAGUAAAUAUGAUCCUUGUGUUCUAGUCAUCUCCUUUCCCCCUAGUACAAGUUCACUCCUUAAAUCCCUGCCUCUGAGAGUGCUAAAAAUGUUCACUGUGUACUACACUCUGAUAGUAGCUUGGCAAAAUUUCUCCAUUUAUAAUGACUUCACAAUAGUUGAAGAAUCCAUGAGAGAAAAGUCAGUCAACCCUAAAUGGAACCUGGCAGAAACUCUGGAAUGAGGUGAUAGCUGAUUUUCAAGGUCUGUUUCCAGUAGUAGAAGAAAUUGAAAAUUUUGUAACAUCCUCAAAACACUUAGUUGGUUGAGAGUUUGAUGAGCUUAAGUGACAUUGCUGAACUGUUAGACUCUCACACGGUGAAAAUAGUUGAGAAAUGUUUCAGAAGUGUAAUCACAUAAAAUGUUGAUAAAAGAGGCCACAGUAGGUUAACAUCCAGAGUUCAAAGCAAAUCAAAUUGUCGUGAUGAGUCAGAAGAAAGAGUUCCUUUGGUAGAAUAUAUAUUGACCUUCAGGCAAGGCUUAAAUGAUUAUCCAUGAGUAUAAAGAAGUAAUAAAUCUUCAAGCAGAGGUCAGUAAGUCUUUUCUCUCUGCUUAUUUAACAGGGGAGAAGGAUCUAUCUUCCAUGCCAUCCAAACCUGUAGUUCAAACAACGCUGCACACAUAGUUGAACCUUGGGAUUCAGACUCACGUGGCUCUAACAAUGUGCUGAUCCAUGUGCUGGGGGAUGAAAGUGAAGCAGAAGACUGAUCUUACUUCUCUGCAAACAAAACCUGAUCUUCUCUCUUCUCUCCCUAUCACUGCCAUCAUAACUACCAUUUUCAUUUGUACAUUAUCAUCCUAACCUUUAGAUCAGGGAGAAAUAGAAGUCUGUUGCCCGCUAAUCAUUAUGGCUAAUGUAAAAUUUGUAAGACAUCAUUGAGAUUCACGUUAGCGCUUUAUUUCAGUGAACAGGAGGCCAAUUCUGUGGGCUUUUACAAUACUUCCUUUUCUGCCCCAUGUUUUCCUUAAAAGGUUUUAAAGUCCUCCAACAUACAUGCUACGAAUGUUUCGGGAACUCAACCCUAGAAUCCAAAGAAAGGGCUACUAUACUGUAUUUGACAGUUUGCUUUUUAACUUUUGACCCUGAAGUUUAUUUUAAUUCUGAUUAAGCUUGACUAUCUUACUAGAAGGGACUAGUUUAGGGUAAGUGAACUUGUUUUACAGCAAUCAUGUAAGUUAGCUUUUGAAGACUCCUUUUGAAAGGUAGUGCAUUUAUGAUGAAUUUCUUAAUUUACAUUGGUACAGAGUCAAUAAGGAAGAGCUGCUAGAGCUCUUUGCCAUAGUUCCCCUCUGUUCUCAUUUCUGGCCCUGUGUCUGCUGAUAGACCUGCUGAUAUAUCUAAUCACUGCCGAUACUUUCUGUUCCCUGAAUUUGGUGGAGAAUUCAUUUCCAGACUGAGUUAUUUUAUCCCCUCAUUGAUCCCAUGUAUUUAUUUUAUGGACUCAAUUGUUUUACAAGUAUUAUUAUUUUAGUUUUAGAUGUAUGUAGUUUUCUAGGCAGACUUCACAGAGGGGAAAAUCACAAAGCCAGAAUUAUUCAGCAGAUACCUUAUUCUAAGAAUUCUUGGCAAACAUAAAUGAUGAACUCUCCAGUUCCUUUGACCGCUUACAUACAUUCUUACCUGAUGCUCAUUGCGAAUUCACAUGGGUAGUUAGUUAUUCCGGGGAAUAGAGAGACAGGAAGUCUGAUUAACAUUGUUGUUUCUUUUGUCUUAACUGCUACUUGGGCCAGGAUUAUAGCACUGACACCAUAAUUAUAUCUCAUAAUGAUGCGCAAGAAAACUAAGAGGAAGAAAGACAACUCUUUGGCAUGAGGUUGCCAGAAAGAGACAUUACUUAGCUUGAAAAAAUAUAAUGACAACUGAGAAUGAUGAAAUUUAUGUACAGUAAUGAAAUAAUGCUGCCUUCAAGCAAUUAUGUCAAAAAUGACACUGGAAAGUAAAUUGAAUUUGGUCUUAUAGGAUGCAUGGAAGAAAACCACUUGAGUUGAGAUUAGAAAUGAGUGAAUCCAGUAAUUUCUCCCUUAAUCUGGAGAUCUGAAUGACAGGUUGCCUAUAUCUGAAAGAGAAAUGAUCAGGAAAAAAGAAAAAAAAUGUAAAAGGCAAACAGGGCUUGCUUUGAAUAGUUAGAUUGAGACGACAGAUAACCCUCAACAGGCUCAACAGAGGCACAUAAGAGUUGAAAACCCAUGCAGGCUUCCAGGGAUCUAGUGACACCAGUGUAGCAGGUGAGGAACUUAUACUUUUCCUCUAUGCCACAGUUUUUCUCAACCCUGGCUGCAUAUCAGUCAUGAUGGGUAGCUUUGAAAAAUACAGGCUUCUGGGUCCUGCCCCCACACUGGCUGGACUACUGGUGGGCCAGCAUCUAUAUAUUUUGAAAGUUUCUCAAGCAAUUCUUUAUACAAACAGGUUUAAACCACUGCUGUAAGGCUAAAUAGAAUUAAGAUAGAAAAUGUUCGACAAAUGGCAGUAGGCCCACAAACUAGGAAACCUUGAGUGAGCUGUUCUACCACUAGUUCAAGGGAUAGUUUCAUUUAAGUCACUUCUCUCUUUCCUCAUUUGUCAAAUGAGAAAAUAGGAUCACUAGUCUCCAAGGUUCUUUCUUUGAUGCUGUUACCUUGAGAGAAAGGUGCAUCAACCUUAUUGGUUAACUUGGGGAGUACUAAAGCCUUUGAUAGGACGCAGAUAAAUAGUAAAUUAUUGCAUUGCAUUUUGUUAUUGUAAAAACGGUGCUUGUGAUUUAAGUUUUACCAUAUUUUAGUUCCUCCCAGGAAAAAGAGUUGGGCUUAGAGGUCACAAAAGAAAAGGCAAACAUAGCACCAGUUUCCUGAAAUGAAAUACAGAAAUUACUCCCAUGAAGUUUUUUUCCUGUCAUAAUGUUGUUUUUUUUCUCUCUGGGAUUGGAAAAAAUAAUGAAUAGAUGUUGUGUGUAAAACAUUUUAACAUUUUACGUGUAUUGUUUAUACAAAUCUAAUUGGAAAAGUCUGUGUGGGCAACAUUUUAAGAUUCCAUGGAUAAUCUGCUUAAUUAUGUCUAGAGGUAAAUACUUUUUAAGUUAACAAUCUUUAUUACAAUAUAAUCAGUGGUUCCGAAGGUCUCCAGAGAAUGAGCUUUCUGAAUAAUUGUAACAUUGAUUGGGAUUACUUCCUUGAAUGUUUUUUCUCUUAAUUUGAACAGAAUUAGGGAAAUCAGGGUGUUUUUGGAGGGGGGUACUGGGGGUCGAACUCAGGACCUUGCAGUUGGCAGGCAGGUGUGGCGCCAUUGAGCUAUAUUCUUGGCAGGAAAUAAAAUUUAAAUCAAAUUGCAUCAACCAGGAACUCUUAGUAUAAAAUAAUGAAGUAUGAAAUUUAUUAAAUUGGGUAUUAUAUGAUUGCAGCUUCUGUAGGAAUGCCUAUACUUUGGCAUGAUAGAUGGAAACAUUUGUCUAGGGCCUAAGUCAUUUAAAAUAAAAAUUUGGAAUAAAUCUAAUUCUUGCUAAAGACAACAUCGAGUUAAAAUAACCUAAGAAGUAUUACUAAUAAAGGUCAAUAAUGGAAUAUUUUAAUGUGGUUAAAUGUAACAAGUCAGUGGAACACAUGGGAGGAUGUGAAAGUUUGUUACAGGAUAAACGGUAGAAGUAGAAUUUAAUGACAACACUGCUGUAUAAAUAGGUAUUGUUCUUUAUGUUUAGAAUACCUCCCUCCCAGCUGGAAAGUGCUGAAAAGUUUUAGUAGGUUUCACACACGGUUUGAGUGACAACUACCUUUCUUUUGUCAAAUAAUGUUGGUAAGUCCUCGAGCUAAUAUUAAGAAACACAAGGAAAUUUUCUUAUAGACGUAUUUAACCACUGUGGAAAAAGAACAAAAAAGAAAAAGGGGAGGUGAGGAGAGGGCAAACCAGUCUGCUAAAAUGUGGAAGAUAUGCUAGAACACUAACCUUACUUGUAAAAAGAUCCUUUUGGUUAAAAUAUUUUAAAGUUCAAAACACAGAGAAAGCUUUUCAAAUUGCACAUUUGGAUCACGUGGUUGCCACCACCUGAAUGUUAAUAAAGGGUUUUGACAGUGUGUGGAAUCUGAAAGUUUAUGUGAGUAAUAUUUGCAUUGUGAAAUAUAUUGACCAUUGAACUUUAUAUAGUAUUGUUACCUUUUAAUGGUGUUUGAUGUUAGUAUGUUAUGGUUGGUGAAGAGUUCAGAAAUAAAUGUCUGCUGUGAAUAACAGUGUACAGAUUUUGCCAAACCAUGAAAUCAAACAAAAUAAAGGAAGGAAUAAUACAUUUUAUUAGCAUGAAUAACAAAUAUUGAGAAAUUAAAUCUGAAUGUAGCAUAUUUGAGACACAUUGCUAAUUAGCCCAGCAUUGGAAACAUGGAGUUGAUGGCUUGGCUACUUGACAGUGGGAUGACAAAUGGCACAAUAAGAGUGACAUAAGACUUAGAGUGAGGUCUUUAACACACACUUCCUGUCUGCUCUGGGUUGAGGGCGUUCACUCUUUGGUGUUUACUGCUUAGUUCUGGCAGUACCAAGGGUUAUGAGAAUGUAAGGAAUUAGCAAGCAGCCUGAGCUAUGGAAUCAGAGAGUUCUACUUUCAAAUCUUGCCCCUGCCAAUUGCCAGCUGUGUGACUGUGGGCAUGUCUUUUCAGCAUUACAGACUUUAGUUUCUAAUCUGUAAAAUGGGGUCAAAAUACCUGCAUUACAGAGUUCCUAGAAAAUUAUAUGAGAUGCUUAGUACAGUGCCUGGCACAUAGUAAGUGCUCAAUAAAUUGCUGCUAUUAUUAUUAUUAAAACACAAAUAAACAUUGUAUAAAUAGAAGGUAAUAGUUUAUUCCUGUCUUGAUGAAAUGUUAAUAUUUAAUUUAUUAAAUUAUGCAUGAUGGUUUUUAGAGAGAAGGAAUAAGAAAUAAAUGUUACUAUUUUUCUUUGUUGUUGGUGAAGGAUACCUGAAACAAAAAUUUCUUUGUUGUUAAAUUACUCCUUGGCCUGAAGUGAUCAUUCAUAUUUUAUUUAUGAUGUGGUUAUAUAUCAUGUGCAUGAUAUUUAUAUGGUGAUUAGAGGCAAUGACUUUUAAUAUGAAUGCACUCUUACUAUCUAGAAAAUAAUCCAUCCACAAAUAUGAUUCCUCAUAAGUGGCAUCUGAAAUUCUUUAUAUUUCUCAUAUUUAUGAUGGCAUUUGAGUAUCUAAAAGUAGCGGUAUUUAGAGUUCUGAGUAUUCAUCGUGACUUCUAUGCUGUGUCUGCUGAGCAAGAGAGCGGUCACUGUCUUCAUUCAAGCCCUCACUACCACUUACCAGUAUCGCUUUAGUGACCUCACAUUCAAACUCUUUAAGUAUGUUAGCUUUUAGUAUUUGGUUUAUAUAUAUAUAUGAAUAUAUAUUAUAUAUGUAUAUAUAUGAUUAGUCUUUGUCAUUCAAGACUUUGCUGCUUGACUGACUUUUUCUGUGCACAAUUCUCAUUCAGAUACUCCCUUCUUCAAAAACCUUCAAUGACUGCCGAUCAUCUAUAUAUUCCACUGCUUGAUCUUUAAAUCAUGGCCCAAUCCCAGUGUACCUUACCAGUUUUGUUACCCGUGUCCUUUCUCAUGUACUGUAUUUGAUAGUUCUCUGACUUCCUUAGCCUUAUGUAAGUAAUAAGGGCCCUUUUAGCCUGUAGGUCAACUCUGAUCCCUUAAACUUGUCACUUACACUUUGAUAGGUAAGAUGAGAAAUUCUGUGUAUUACCUGAAGCCAAGAUGCUUCAGAUAUACCUAACUAGUUAUAAUCUCUUUCUUGUUCCCUUCCAAAUAUGCCCAAUCAGGGAGGGAGUCUUCUCUCAUUUCAUUCUUAAGCCUCCAGCCUAUUAAAUUAGGAUAUCUUUACAGACUCUUAUCCCUCUUAGUUGAGCCUCUGAGUGCAACCUAUUGAAUUUUGGGUCUGAAUAUAAAGUUUCUUGUAUGAGCACCUGAAAUAAUUGCCUGGAAAUCUAAAUUCCAUUCUUAAGAUUCUUGCCGGCCUCAUUUCCUCAUCAUCAUAUCACAUGAAAUGCUCUCUGUUCUCCUGCAUAUGAAUGCUACCCUGGAAUUUACUUAAGUUUACCAUACUCUAGAUUUGGCAGCUAGACCACAGCUUGUUGAAUGAAGUGCCACAGGCCAAAUCUAAUCCAAUUGUUAUUUUUUAAAUAAAGUUGUAUUGCAACACAUUUAUCUCCAAUCAUUUAUUAUUUGUGGCUGUAUGAAAAUAGCAGAGAUGAGUAGUUGCAACAGACACUAUAUAGCUUUCAAAGCCUUAAACAUUUACUAUGUUAUCCUUUACAGAAAAUAUUUGCUGAACCCUCAUAUAAAGCCAAAUAGUUUCCCCAACCUAUAUACUGUUUAUUUCUUGUCAACCCAUAAAUGCCCAGAAGGCUAGUUCAUUGAGACUACGAGGUUCUAAACCAAAUUACUUGUUUUUACUUGAACUUCCCUGCUUCCUCUUUCUAAUUUUCUUAAAAUGACCUUCCUGUGUUUUGCUUUUUUAGUAGAAGAGAUGCUAUAGUCAUAACAAUAGUCUCAUGUCUCUCAUGUCUGUCUUUUAAUGUAACAACUAGAUCUUUUUUUUUUUUUUUUGGUACCAGGGAUCGAACUCGGGUCCUUGCGCUUGUGGGGCAAGCAGCAGAACCACUGAGCUAAAUCCCCAGCCCUACAUCUAGAUCUCAAUAUACAAGCCUUUCAAUAUUACUAACAUCUCUACUCAUGGACAUUAAAUAUCUCUAAGAUUAGGUCUUUCCAUUCUUCAGUGUCUUCAACUCAGGUCUUCUGAGCUUCACCACUUUAAAACAUUUGUAAUCGCCAGAUCUUUCCCAUAUUAUAACAUCCACAUCUUCCAGGCUCUGGCCUGCAGCAUCCCCAAAGUCCAUGUUUCCUAAUCUUCUAGGUUUUCCAAUGUCUCCAUUAGUUUUCAAGGCCUAGGUUUUGUCUUUCAAGGUUCAGAGUUCCAACUUGCAAAUCUUCUACAGUUACAAUUCUUCAAUAUUUCUUAUACACGGGUCUUGUAAAGUCUAUGUAUUUCAUAGUAUCCAAGUCUAGUUUGUAAAGUAUCUUAUAGCACCCAUAUAAUUCAUUUCCCCUAUAUUUUAAUGUCUCCUGCAUCCUGGUUUUACAGUGCCUUUUUAAAAAUUAUCAGUUAAAGUAUUUCAAUAUCUCUAAAUACUUGUCCUUCCAACAUUCAUGUGUUCAAAUAUCGCCAGUGUCUGAAAUGCCUAAGUCUCUUAACAUCCAGCUAUUUUAAUAGCUAGAUCUCCUAAUAUCCAUAGGUGCCAAAUUCCUUGAUUCCCAGCAUCAUUAAAACGUACUUACUCUAAAUUCUGUUUUUUGACAGGAAUAUAUCAAUAUUCAAGUUUUCUAGUUGGUACCUCCUAAUAUUUAGGGCUUCUGAUUUUAUGAAUUGUAAAUGUCGGGAUCUUCUAUUUUCCAUACCCACCAGUUCUCAGGGGCCCCAAGGUACAGAACUUGCAAUGCCUCUAGUAUCCAGGGCUUCCAGUGUCUAUGGCUUCAUGUACUCAAUAUCCCAGUGUUCAGAGUAUCCAAAGUCUGCAAUGUUCAGAGUAACUAACCAAUGUCUCCAAAAUACAAGACUUGCAAUGUCUCCAACAUCCUGUGCUUCCAAUGUUUCCAAUGUCUAGGGUUUCCAGUGGCUUCAGUGUCAAGGUCUUCCAGCAACUCACAGUCUUCCAACAAUCUCAAGGUCUUCCAGACAAUCUCGGUCUUCCAGAAAAUCCAUGUCUUCCGGAAAAUUAAUGUCUUCCACAAUCCUGCAUGUCUUCCAGCAAAUCUCGUCUUCCGCAAGCAAAUCCAGAUCUUCCAGGAAAAUCCAGAUCUUCCAGAAAAAUCCAUGUCUUCCAACAAUUUCAACGUCUUCCUAUGAGUCUGUGUCUUCCAGGAAAAUCUGUGUCUUCCACCAAAUCCAAGUCUUCCAAUGAAUUCAGGUCUUCCAGAAAAAUCCAGGUCUUCCAGCAAACUAUGUCUUCCACCAAAUCAAGUCUUCCAGUCAACUCCUGUCUUCCAGACAAAAUCUGUGUCUUCCACUAAAUCCAGCUCUUCCAGUAAAGCCAUGUCUUCCAGAAAAUUCAUGUCUUCCAGUAAUCUCCAGUUCUUCCAGCCAAUGUAUGUCUUCCUGAAGAUUCAAGUCUUCCAGAAAAUCCACGUCUUCCAGAAAAUUCAUGUCUUCCAUAAAACAUCCAGUCUUCCAGCAAACCAAUAUCUUCCAAAAAAUCCAGGUCUUCCAGACAAUUCAGGUCUUCCAGAAAAUCCACGUCUUCCAGAAAAUCCACGUCUUCCAAAAAAGCUAUGUCUUCCAUCAAACCCAUAGCUUCAAAAAAAUCUAUGUCUUCCAGAAAAUCCAAGUCUUCCAACAAAUUCAUGUCUUCCAUCAGUUUUAUGUCUUUCAGCCUUCCUAUGUCUUCCAACAAAGCUACGUCUUCCAGAAAAUCCAUGUCUUCCAACAAAGUCACGUCUUCCAACAAAGCCGUGUCCUCCGGAAAACCUGUCUUCCAGUGAAGCCAUGUCUUCCAUCAACUCCAUGUCUUCCUACAUCUCCAGGGCUUCCAGCAUCUCCAGGGCUUCCAGCAUCUGCUCGUCUUCCACCAUCUCCACAUCUUCCAGCAUCUUCAGGUCUUCCUACAGCUACCCAGUCUUCCAUCAGCAGGUUUAAUAUCCACGUCUUCCAACAUCUCCGCUGCACCAGCCUUCUAAUAUCCAGGUCUUCCACUGUCUGCAAUAUCCAGGUAUUCUAACUUAUUCUAUAGUCCAGGUCUUAAACCCUUUCCCCAGAUCAAGGCUUUUCCAAAUCUAGUCCUCCUCUGUCCAAGCUUUCCCAUGUUCAAAACUUUCCACAGGGAGAUUGCCAACUCAGGUAUUCCUGCUUCUAGUAUAAUUAGCUUUAAAAAUUCAAUAGGAUAUUCCUACUUACAGGCCAGAUUUUAUGGGCAAGCUGUAAUUUAACUGUGGUUUUGAUAUUAGAAAAUGUGUGUUUAUUCUUUGCAACUUUUUAAAAUAGUGUUCAUAGGAAGUUUUACAGAAUAAACAGGUUACUGGAGUAAAUUUUAAAACUUUUUAAUGCUCAUAGAUUUUAGAAUCAACUAUGCUUAGGUGUAAGUGAAAUUUUAUUGUUAUGAGAAAAAUUCAUAUUUGGAGACUUAUUUUAGAUAAAAUUAACAUAUAGUGUAUCUGUCCACUUUUAAAUAACAUCAUUUUUACUUGAUUUUAUGUGUAAUAAUAACAAUAAUAAUAAUAAUAAUAAUAAUAAAUAGCAAUUGCUGUGUCCGGGCACUGUUCUAAGGUCCUUACAUACAUGAACUCAUUCUGUCUUUGUAGUCUCCCAUUAAAGUAGGUAUUGUCAUUAUCCCCAUUUUGCAGAUGAGGAAAUUGACACACAGAGUUGAAGUAAUGUGUCCAAAAGACAUAACUAAUAAGUAACAGAGUUGGAAUUUGAACCCCACUAGCCUGUUUCCAGAGUCCAUGAUCUUAAUCACUAUGUUAUGAUACAUGUUAUUGAAAAUCAAGAUGAAAAUUUUGAGAUCUGAAGCUUGAUUGGUCCCAAAUUGUGUUUCAAAUAUAAAAUCACAUACACAAAUGAUCUUGUUUAUCCUGUCACUACUGGAAACUAUUCAUAUUCAAAGCUUUCAUUCCUCGACCAGCUAUUGCAAUUCCUUUGCUCAUGUAUAUGAAAGUAGACGCUAUUGCUUCCUGAUACCACAUUUAGCUUGGACAAGAACACUGAGUUCAUACACCCUUUGCUUUAGAAUCAUAUUCACAGCUCUUUGCUUUGAGUACUGGUGCUUGGAAUUUAACUUUUCCAUCCAUUCUAAUCUUUUAUCACUGACUAUUCUCCAAUUUGAAACUUAUUGUCCAAACCAUUUAUCAUUAGUUUGCUUUUGACCUCCAGGAUCCAACUGCUUCUUCACGUAUCAGUGACUUCCUUGGGUUACUCACCACUGCUUUGUGUUCACCUAAUGGUAGCUACAUCUCCUUAAAUUCCAGCAUGUUGAUCUAGAGAACUAACUAAUUGCUUGGUUCUUUAAGUCUCAGCUCUCACCAGGCACUUCCAGCAAUGUACCCGUGCUUCUGCCUGGUAUGAACAACAUUAAAUCCACACAAUGAAGUUAUCCUUAGGCAAGGAAUCUCUAAAAGUCUGGAGUCAUCUAAGAGGUAAUAAAAAGGAACAAGAACAAUAAUAAUUAGAAUAACAAUUCCUUCUGAAUUGCAGCUUACAAAGUGCCAUCACUUCAUUUAUCCAUCCUUCCGUUCAACAAAUAUUUCUUGAGUGCCAACUGUGUGACAGGCAUGUUUUAGAGGAGCUUAAAAUCAGCUGGAGAGCAUACAUACCAUAUGCAAAUAAUUGAACAAUUAUUCAUUAAUUGUGGUAAGGACAUUAAGGAAAAGUAAAUAAAGAAUCUAUGAGAAUUUAGAAAGUCAAGGAAAGCAUUCUUGAGGAAGAAUGGUGACUCUGAAGGAUGUAGUUUCUCAUUUGUUUAUUAAAACAGGCUUGUGACUUAGAUACUACAGAUUUUUUUCUGUGAGUUUUACCGAAUUAGAAUAAUGACAAUGAGUAUGAGAUCCAGGUGUUUGGACUUUUUUUUCUAAUUCUAUCUAAAUCAAAGAAUAUAAAAAUGUUUAUACUCUUUAACUUAGUAUUUUCACUUCAAGGAACCUAUCCAAGGAAACUAUUUAAAAUGUGGAUAAUUUAUGCACAAAGAUGUUCCUCACAUACUUAUUUGGUGUAGCAAAUAAUAGAAAAACCCAAGUCUAGCUUUAAGCAAAUGAUUAAGUAAAUGUGCUAUUCAUGUAUGAUGUAAUAUUAUUCCAUUAAAAUAUUUAUGGUAUGCUCCUUAUACAAUGUUCAGUGAAAAAUCCACAUACAAGAUGAUAUAAAAUAUGGUUUCAACUAUUUUAAAAUACAUAACCAGGGACUAGAAGUAAACAGACUGGAGAUUGUGAACCUAUGACUGGCUGAGCAAGAUUAUGUGUGAUUUUGUUUUCUUCUUUAUAUUCUUAGUAUUUUUACCCAAUGUUCUUACAAUGUAAAGGUAUUUUCUAGUCAGACAAAAUCUAUCAAUACUUGUGCACCAAUUAAUCAUUUAUCUUUAUAUUGUACAUGCAAUCAAUUUUUAUUAUUGAAAUCCCUUCAAAAUAUAAACAGUGAAAAAAAUUAAAUUUUCAAAUAAUCUCAAUGCCCAGAAAUAAUCAUUGUAAAGACUUUGGCACUUGUUUAAGACUUUUGCAUAGGUAUGUUUAUUUUCUUUUACAAAAUGGAAGCCUU